rnacentral:ribozyme from 11 species
UGUUGUUUUGUUUUGUUUUGUUUUCCUUUUCUUUUCUUUCUUCUUUCUUAAGUU